GAGAAUCCUGACAUUUAUUAGCAUAAUAAAACUCUCAAGAUGAGAUUGCAGUUUUCCAGACAGUAAUUUCAUUUGCAGGACAACUUACAAGGAAUUUAUUUUAAGGCCAGGUAAAACCUAAAAUCUAUGAGACAUGCAGAAAAUGCGGGCCCAAAAUAAAAGGAAAUAAAUGAGCUGGGCAUGGGAAACUCAGCUGUUGUCUCUCACAAGUUAAUUAGGGGUGACAGGAACAACAGCUCAGGGAAUCGAGUUCUCAACCCAUCCUGGUCUGCUUUCAAAGCUGCUGCUGAAGAGAAGUUUCUUCUUGUUAGUUCCUCCUAACACCUAGCAAAUCAUCACAUCCUAUCCCCUUGACACUUGAAACCAUCGUCACUGUUAAAGCAGUUGUCACCAGCAAUACCUUCCAUUUCACGGGACUCUCAUGUUUAUCAUUUGACUGACCUGCCAAGAGGCCUAGUGAUGGCCAUAUAGGAAAUUCUC
rnacentral:lncRNA from 1 species